CGAGCACUUUCUGCAUCACAUGUCAUGCAUCACCCCCCUGCUGUCUCUCUCUCUCACUUUUUUUCUUCUUCUUCUUUUUCUACGCACUCGUUCUAACACACCCUAAAUGACACAAGUCAGCCUCUUUGCCAUUCUUCGCUCUCCAGCAACACAAACAGUAUCUCUCACUCACAACUUUGGUAAGUUUUUCGGGUUUUUUAAAAAAAAUGUCUUUCCUGUUUUUCUCUUAAGCUCAUUUUUGCUGCGCACAUCUUUUACACUGAAACUGCUUUGUCUGCUUUUCCCCUGUUGUGAUUUUUAAUACUUUGGAUUUUGAAGUACUUGAAGCAUUUAUUUAAUCUAUGCUAAGCUACAUUUGAGGUACAAUUACAGCACCUCAGGCAAUAAUUUGCAACUUAGAUCAGUUAUUCUGAUCCAUUUUGGCUUUAAUUGCUCUUUGUAAGUGGACCUGCUUUAGUUCUUGAUUAAUUUUGCAAUAGUUGAUGUCGGCUCUCGGUCUGAUGAACUCCGAGUGAAAAAGUUUCCACCCAUGGCGGGCUGACUGAUGCUGUUCAGUUAUCAUUUUGACAGGAAACCAGCAAACGCUCUGAGCGGUCUGCAAAGCUUCCUGUCAUCCUAGUGAACACAAUUUAGAGUUUAACAAGGGCAGACUUCCUGUAACAUCUCCAGUGUGAGUAUGUAUAUAACUAUAACCUGUGAGCCUGUGUUAUGUUUUGGUAAAGAUUGAUUUAAAAAAAAACUUUCUAAAUUUUAAUGUGCAAAGAACACAUUUGUAUAUGGAGAAAAAGUUUCAGGUUAACGCUGAGCAAUGCAUCAAUGUUUCCUCUCGAUUUAGAAAGCUACAAUUAGUGAUGCUUCAUCAUAAAUCGUGCAAUAUUGUGCACUUGCUGUUCAGAUGAUAGGUCAUUUCAGUAGUACCACUGCCGUUUUUGUGCAGUGUUGUGCAUGCCUUAACUUUGUCAAUUUACCUCUUUUUUAAUUUCAUGUUUAGAUCCUGAGUAUAAAAUUCACCAAUGGAUCUCCUGAUGACAAGUUCACAGCUGCUUUGAAAGCACCAGGAGUUUGUGACUGUAAAGUUCAGCCUGUAACUGAGACUCCAAACCAUCCAGGAAUUUUUUUUCUUUAAUUCAACUGUAACUUCUUCCUAAGGAGGUAAUGCACAUUUUUAAUUACAUUUAAUUGUAGCAAAGUCAGAUUUGUGUCAUUGCAACGAUUCAGAAGCCCUACACAAAGUCUGUGGCAGACUCUCAGUUUCCAUUGUUUAAAAGUGCAAAGAGAGAAACAGCUUUCUGCUUUUGUGUUCCCUCAAGUGCACACACUGCAUUGUUUUAAGUGAUAAGGCACACCCUUGCUAAAAUAAACAGUGAAAGCUGCUCUUAAAGCUAAAAAUGUACCUAUUUUUAGAAGUGCUUGUUUUGUGUGUGUGUGUGAUAAACAGUGUUAAUGACUUUCUUGCCAAGAGUUUGAUAAAAAAAAAAAAAAUCAUAUUACUGUCAUAUGUAGAAAUAUGAAGAUGAUGCAGACAGUUAGCUUUGCUAAGCAGUGUUAGAAAAAAACACACAGCUUUUGUGUUUGAAAAAAGGCCUAAAGCAGCUGUAAAUCUUGCUUGCUUGCUAUUUCUUUUUUUAAUUUGCACCACAACGCAACUGUCAGAUUUAGUUUGUUGUGUCAGAAUGAUUCUUAGCUGGUGUUCUUGGGACCAAAGCAAACUGUAAUGCAGCAAACGACUGAAACAAACUUUCAAAAGUGGAUAUAAGUGCCAAAAAUUGCGUGUUUGUCACUCUAGAAUUUUGAAAAUUUCUAAUUUAUGCAAUUUGAUCAUCAUUUUCGGCCAUUUCACUGCAGAAUUUCAACUGGUGGAUAAAGUUCACAGGUUUGUCUCUUUUUGACUAUAAGAGAGUCAAAUUUAUGAGUUAAAAAAUGUCUUCGGAGCGCCUUUGUAAAAUGAAAUAAUUGCAAUGACACAUGUUCAUCCAACUUUAAACCACCAGCUAACCUGACAAGCAGUUUUGCCCAGACCCAGAACUUGCUUACUGUGAGGUGAUUAAUGCGCAGCUAUCCGUUACAAUGGGUCUCUCAUUUAACAAAUCAAGCUAGACUAUGAAAGGGACAAGGUUAGUUAGUACUUGACCACGGUUUGCUCCUGCUAGACCGAGCAGUCUUUCCACUGAAAGCUCCACCCACAGACACAUUUUAAUGCUCACAUACAAAUCCAGAUAAAUAUAUAUCACACCUCACACCCUGUUGGCAAGUUAUUGGUUGAAUGCAUAUGAUUUCACAUUAAGAUCAUUCAAAGAGACAAGGCUUGCUUGAAAGAGAGUUAUCUUCAAAUGCCUAAUGGGUUUUAUGAAGAAAAAAAAUCAUAUAGGAAUUUAUACAUCAGCUUUGCCCCUUGUGUCCACCUGUGACUGAUUUCCUUGUACUGCACCCUUCGUAUUUCGCUACUCUAUCAGAUUUCAGGCUUCAAUUAAAUGAAACGAGAAUAAUGUAAAAUGUCAUUUUUCUAAUCUAACUCGGCAAGAAUGUAAACAUGUGUUUUCUUAAAUCCUACAUCACCAAAACAUUUAUGAAAAUGAACUGAUUCCCCAUGUGUGUUCAUACUAAUUCUGAACCUCUUCUCUGUCCUUCCUUCAGGGAUGGGGGAUUCUGAACAAAACAGCACUCCAUUGGUGCUGGGCCUUUUGUUCAUCCUAUUAUUCCUCCUUGUUGUGCUCUUUGUACUGUACAAGAAGCUGAACAGGGAGGCUGAAGGGGAAUAUACAGUCCGACGCAUCGUCUACAAGGAAGGAGGUCUCAGGGACCAGGCGAGAAGUGCAGCGUUAGCUGUGGGGGCACGUCUUGGGGUCCAGCUGUGGCCUGGAAGUGAUGAAGAAGAGGAAGGGGAGGAAAUGCAGGAAGUCCAAGAUGAAGAAGAACAGGUGGAUAGUGGUGGUAGUCAGGAGAGUGACACAGAGGGAGAUGAAGAGGAGGAGGACAACGACACUGGUAAUGCUAAGGAGAAAGAAAGUAAUACUUCAAAUGAUGACUCAAGUAUUGGGAGUUCAGAGGCAGGAGAGCAAACCAAACUUAACGAUGAGUCUGAGCCAGAGGGAGAGACGGAAGAUAAAAGUGAAGAAAAGGAGGAGAAAGUGGGAGAAGAGCAGAGUAAAGCUGAGGCAAGUGGAGGGCCGGGAUUGCUGAUAGAUCUAAAGCAGUUCUCUGGAAGUGCGAUCUGGUCUGAAGAAGGUGGUGAGGGUAAAGGUGACGUGACGGCGUUGUGAGAAUCAGAAAUAAUGAAUAAGACUGAGGAAACUGCCAAAUCAGGAUUUCACAAACAUCAGCUUCAUCCCCUAAAUGUCUCCCCACUGCAAAUUCCUUCUAUUAGUCUAAAAAAAUAAAAUAAAAUAAAAGAUACAUGCACCCACCCAUUAAACCCAAAGAGCUUUAAUCUUUCAUGACCUCACUGACCUUGCUUUCCUCUGGUCAAAUUUUUUUGAUGAAUAAAGCAGUUAUAUAAACAUACAGGGGUACUCUAGAUUGUAACUGUAAAGUGUAAAAAAAAAAACCAAUACUUGUCUAUACUUUUUUGCUUUAAAUGUUUAUUUUAAUCUACAUAAGAAAUUGAAAACUGGAAACUUUUUUUAGUGUUUUCUGCUCUGUUUUUUGUUGUUCUUUAUGCCGUUUGUAGAAAUAAAAAAAGAGUAGUAAUUAAAUAUAGUGAGAACAAAAUAAUGCGUUAUUUGUUUUAUUGAAAACAAGUGAAUGUAACCGAUCAAACUUUAAGUCAACAUACAUUUUAUAUGGUGUGUAAAUGGUUGAAAAUUUAAUAAACCACAUACUGAAAAUACGAAUGAAUUGUAUACUUUAAAAAUA
ensembl:lncRNA